AGCUCCAAUAGCGUAUAUUAAAGUUGUUGCGGUUAAAAAGCUCGUAGUUGGAUCUGCGGACUUGGAGAACGGUCGCCUAAUUGGUGUACUGUUUUCCUGUCCUAUCAUCUCUAGUUUACCUUAGGUGCGCUUCACUGUGUGUCUAGGAUGGCUAGAUGGAAUAGGACCUCGGUUCUAUUUUGUUGGUUUUCGGAGCAUGAGGUAAUGAUUAAGAGGGACAGACGGGGGCAUUCAUAUUGCGACUUUAGAGGUGAAAUUCUUGGAUUGUCGCAAGAUGAACAACUGCGAAAGCAUUUGCCAAGAAUGUUUUCA
rnacentral:rRNA from 1 species